CCUACGGGAGGCAGCAGUCGAGAAUCAUUCACAAUGGGGGAAACCCUGAUGGUGCGACGCCGCGUGGGGGAAUGAAGGUCUUCGGAUUGUAAACCCCUGUCAUGUGGGAGCAAAUUAAAAAGAUAGUACCACAAGAGGAAGAGACGGCUAACUCUGUGCCAGCAGCCGCGGUAAUACAGAGGUCUCAAGCGUUGUUCGGAAUCAUUGGGCGUAAAGCGUGCGUAGGCUGUUUCGUAAGUCGUGUGUGAAAGGAGCGGGCUCAACCCGCGGAGGGACGGUGAUACUGCGAGACUAGAGUAAUGGGGGGGGAACCGGAAUUGUCGGUGUAGGAGUGAAAU
rnacentral:rRNA from 1 species